CCUAGCGAACCCUAGCGCUCCCCGAUCCCUCCCACCUCCCCUCCCCUCGCCGCCACCCACCCCUCCCCUCGCACUCCUCCCUCCCCCCUGGCAAGAUCCAGCGUGCUCCAAGAUACCAACGCUCUGCUCCUCCCCCUCCCUCCCCUCCGGCAAGAUCCAGCACGCGGCCUCCCUCUCCUCGAUCCAGAUCGACAGGUCCACCACCUACACUUCCGGCGAUCCCCAAUCCGGCGACAGAGAUGGCUGCUCCCGCGCCGGCCUUCUUCCUCGCCCCAGAUGCCGCUGCUCGUCUCCUCUCCGGUGAGUGCGGAGGAGCCACCGCGGUCGAGGUAGCCGUCGGCUGGAGCCCCGCCUCUUCUCCUCUCCGGUCACCGUGGAGGUCCGCCGCGUCCAACCUCCUCGACGGCGCCCUGAACCCUAGGCAGCCCAUCUCUUCCUCCCAUGGCCAUGGCCAUGGUGAGCCUACAAGAUGUGCAGCAGCAGAUAUUGAUUUCCCAGCCCGCCUGACGGCCCGCUCCCCUCGCCCCCGCGCAGAUCUUCGAGUACAACGGCUCCGCAACCUGCAGCCGCCGGUCCGGGACGAGCGCAGUGCCGGUUCAGGUGUCCAGCGUCAACCAGAGCGCGCCCCAGAUGCUCGACGGAACGCCCGCUGCACCGCCUGGUCUCAACUUUCUUGCCCUUUGCCAAGCUGAGGGAGAGGGCUAGGGGCUCGGGUGGUGCAGUGGCUGUAAGAAUACGCUCGGGAAAGCAGAGUCGGGUCUACUAGGGCGGCAUCCCCGGCCGUCGUCGGCGGCUACUUCAUCUACAAAGGCUCCAAGCUUGUCCAUGACUCCACUGCCCUCCAGCUUCACAUCUUUGUCCUGAAUCAUAAUGAGUAUCUUUUCUCGCCAUCGAUUUCUGCACGUAUGGUUCAGCUGGUAUGUCUAGAUCUACAUGUUCACCUGGCUUAUGGUGCAUCUCAAUCAUGGACGACAAAAUGUCAAAAUCCUAGCUUAUAUACACUGUACUAAUGUGGGUGGAUACAAUUUCAGAAGAUGAAACUUCAAUAAAAUGAAAAGGCAAAAUUAUAUUGAUUGUUGCCUUCCAUCCUUUUCCUGAAUCGUAAUGCUGAUCUUUUCUUUUGAUUUAUGUGUCUUUAUUUAAGUUAGCUCAUCAUGAGCUAUAGGUUUAGCUGGUUUGUUGGAUGCCAGGUCUUUCUUGUCAUUUUUGACAACCUUUUGAUUUGUAUCUUGAGCCACAUUUUCUACUUCUUGUCUUUUCAAUGUGAGAAUACCAGACACGAAAUGAUGCAUAUGCAUUGUGAUACCUGGAUCACUUUAAAUUCAGGAUUAUUCAUGGCUAAUUCAGGAUUGAAGCAGGGGAAACCCCCCCUCCUCCAUAUUGCCUGCUGAUUAUUUGGGGAUGUCUGUGGAGAGAGAUGUUGAUACUUCUAUAGGCCUAUCACUUCAAAUUUUAUUACAACCAGUUUUAUGCCUAGAACAAUCAUGGUGUCUAGUUUCUGUUUUAUGCCCCACGUUUUACUAGCUACAAGCUCAGCUUCGUGCUCUGUAGGAAAUAAGUACAUCAUUAUUUAGGCGUGUUCUGAUAAUAGUGAAGAAUAAAGGUGUCUUCUGAUGUGGUGGUGCCAAACAAAACUUUUAUGCUUAUUGCUGAGCUUACUUUUAAUAUUGUGAACAUGACAAUUUAUAGGCUGUACUGAAGUUCCACUCAUUUUAUUCUGUGUCCUGAGCUUACCUUUGUAUGUCAGGAUUUUUUCUUCAUCUAUUACCCUUCCUUUGGUUGUAGUUUAUCUUCGUACAGAAACCAAUCUUGGUGUUCUUCCUACUUGCAUUUGAUUAUGUUUUUAAAAUUCCCUAGCACAACUAUAUAUGACAAUGUGGGUAUCUUUUCUGUUUUCAGUGUCUAUAGUGCAUUUGCAUGAUCUUGAAUUAUGUGCUACAGAAUAUAAUUAGCUGAUUUAAACUGCUGUUUUCCUUCGCCUAAUCAAAUGCCCUUUGUCUUUGCAGUAUGCAUACCCAAGUCAAGCUUGCGGUCACGAUGAAGGUGCUGAUAUGGGUUUCCUAUCUUCAGAAGUAAAAUGUUUGCUUGCUACCUUCUUUAGGAUGUUGUACUUCAUUCAUGUUUCAUCGUGGGCUCCAAGACGAAGAAGUCGGGAGAAUCAUAGACUUCUAGCUCAUUGGAUCAUAGACUUCUAGCUUAUUGGAGCUAGUUAUACGUCGAUAGCUAGUUAUUUUUUUAUUCUAUAGUUGUGUUACCUGAUGCGAACUAUUUCUGAUUGUAAACCUGAUGUGAACCAUGUUUGAUCGCAAUGUGCCAGGUUUGGCUCUUUUUGAUUGUAUUCAUGAUUUGAACCAUGUUUUCAUGAUAUUUAGUUAUGCUUUGUUUGAA